rnacentral:rRNA from 1 species
ACGUGUUGGAAGUCAUCAGUUCGAGCCUGAUUAUCCCUAAGCCCAAUGUGAGUUUUUGCUAGUUGGAUUUGCUCCCCCGCCGUCGUUCAAUGAGAAUGGAUAAGAGGCUCGUGGGAUUGACGUGAGGGGGCAGGGAUGGCUAUAUUUCUGGGAAAGAACUCCGGGCACUCAUGAAGCGCAUGGAUACAAGUUAUGCCCAGGAAUGAAAGACAAUUCCGAAUCCGCUUUGUCUACGAACAAGGAUGCUAUAAGUAAUGCAACUAUGAAUGUCAUGGAGAGUUCGAUCCUGGCUCAGGAUGAACGCUUGCGGCAUG